rfam:Trichophyton interdigitale MR816 cont1.231, whole genome shotgun sequence.
GGUGGUAUGGUCUAGUGGUAUGACGUGGCAUUGUGGCUGCCCCAGCCUGGGUUCGAUUCCCAGUACCGCCA